AUCCACCUUUUUUAAUGUACCAUUUAUUUCAAUAAAUUUACCUGAAACAUUGUCCAGUUGUUACUACUUUAAGGUUUCAAAUUUUCUUCAGGCAAUGUGUGGUUGUAAUUUCACGGUUAUGUCUCAGCCUUCCGUGCUUUUCAGAGUGAUAUUUUUAUCUCGAUUUUUUUUUGAAGUCAUGAAAACUUUGCAAGAUUAUGUGAAGUAAAUUUUUAUGCUUCUAUUUAGGUUCUUCUAUGAAUCAAAUAUGUAUUUGCAAAAUGGUCUUGCUUGUACAUCUUGAUCAUUAACUCUGAGCUUUCUGCAGAUUGUGGAGAAACUUCUAAUUGCUGCCAUUGCAGAUGCUGAUGUUAGUGUUCGUCAGUCAGUCUUUCUAUCUCUGCAUGGAAAUGGAGGUUUCGAUGAAUUUUUGGCACAGGCUGAUAGUUUGAGUGCUAUCUUUGUUGCUCUAAAUGAUGAGGAUUUUGAUGUUCGAGAGUUUGCUAUAUCAGUUGCUGGCAGAUUGUCUGAAAAGAAUCCAGCAUCUGUUCUGCCUGCACUUUGUCACCAUCUCAUACAAUUGUUGAUGCAUCUUGAGCAAAGUGCAGAUAACAAAUGCAGAGAAGAAAGUGCUAAACUCUUGGGUUGCCGCAGCCUAAUGUUGUAUUAGACGUAAUCGAAAAUCAAAAGUAGCCUUCAUAUACGGAGAUGGGUAGCUAUGAUGCAAUGAUUAUGCAGAAGCUUGCUGCCAUGCAGCAGUUGGAACGUGAGCUUGAGGCCAUCUCUGCCAUUGAUUACCAGGAAAUUAUGUUAUUCCUAGUGAAGAAGUUCUUGUAGGUCUGUAUUGAUUUAUUUUAAUCACUUCAUUGAGGUUGAGUUUAAAUGUUGUUGGUGUUUAUCUUCCUUUGGCAGGAACAUUUGGAGGAUCUAGCAGGUAAAGAUGCCCAAGAGAAAUCUGAUGUUGCUAUAGAAACCCUUUUACAAGAGCUUCUAGAUGAAAGAAAUGUCAAUAAAAGACCGGAUGAUUCAAAACAGAUACAGGAAAAGUCAAAGAAAAAGAAAAAGA